rnacentral:lncRNA from 1 species
AAUCCGCUUCUGUGGCUCCUCUCCCGCAACUACGGUCCCCAAUCCGCAGGUGCGAAAAUAUCAGAAGCAACAAAUUCAGCAGCUGCAACCAAAAUCCAACUUCUCCGUUAACCUAUCCGAAAUUAUCCCGAGGCCCCCAGGACCUCAACCAAAAACACAAACAUAUCCUAAUACCUUAUCCAAACUUGUUCUGACCAUCAAAUCACCCAAAACACAUCGGAUUCAAGCCAAACUUUCAAAAAAAUUCCAAAUUCCACUUUUGAUCAAAAACCCAACCAAACCACGUCCGAAUGACCUGAAAAUUUUCACACACCUCCCGAAUGACCCAACGGAACUACUGCAACUCUCUGAAUUCCAUUACGACCCCUAUAUCAAAAUCUCGCCUACCAACCGGAAAUUGCCAAAAUCUCAACUUCGCCAAUCCAAGCCUAAACCUACUCUGAACCUCCAAAACUCAUUCCGAUCACACUCCUAAGUCCCAAAUCACCUCUCGAAGCUAACUGAACCAUCGAAACUCACAUCUGAUCCCUCUAACACAUAAGUCAACAUCCAGUUGACUUUUCCAACUCAACCUUUUUUAAAAGAGACUUAGUGUCUCAAACCUUACCAAAUCCUUUCCGAACCCUAACCAAUCAACUCGAUCACAUAUAGAACCAUUAUACAAAGCAAUUAGAAGCAUAAAUGGAGGAAACAGAAUGGUAACUCAUGAGACGAGUGGUCGGGUCGUCACAUGGAGACAUGAAAUCCUUUGGUAAACCAGUAAAAAAUGGAGAACCAGUCAGGAAAAUACUGAGAAGCUUACCUACAGCCUGGCAACCCAAAGUUAUUGCACAAGAAUGUCAAGAUCUUGAUAAGAUGUCAUAUAAUGAGCUAAGAGGUAAUCUUGUUUCCUUUUAGAAGACUAAUUUGAACAGAUGUGUACAAGAAGAAAAAAAGAAAACACUUGUGUUUAAAACAACAUUAGCUAAAACUACUGAAGGCCAGGUAUCAUCUAAUCCAUUAGAAUUAGAUGACUAUACUGACUAACACGUUGUUGUGGUGUAGGUAAAUGCUAAAGUUAAGAACCUUCUGAAUAAUGCAAUAAGCGGUAAAGAAUAUGGAAAGAUCUCAAGUUGUGAAACCGCGAAAGAAGAAGAAGAAGAAGAAGAAGAUGGAGAUCAAGAGGAAAACAUAGCUAUGAUAUCCAAAGUAGUAUCAAUCAUAUGAUGAGAACAAACAAAAAUGGCAGAAGAGGCAAACCAAACUUCAAAAAAGGCAAAACACUAUAUGAGAACUACCAGAAUGAUGGAAGAUGCUAUGAAUGUGGUAAACUUGGUCAUAUUCAAGCAGAAUGUCCUGAACUGAAAAAGAAAAUCAACAGAAACUAUCAAAAGAACAAAUCUUUUAGUGUAUGGAGCGAUGAAGAAGGAUCUGAUCAUAAGGAGAUAACCAACAUGUGUUUCAUGGCAAUAAGAGAAAAUAGUUAUGAAGAAGAAUCUGAUCACAAAGAAGCACAUGAAUUAUGUAGCAUGGCAGCCGAAGGAACAAAUAAGGUACAUUCACAUGUGUAUCCUAAAUAUAAUGAACUUCAAGAAUUCGUUGAUAUUGCUCUCGUAGAUCUUAAAUUUUUUUUACAUAAACUUCAAAAGAUUCAACGAGAAAAGAAAGAUGGGAAUUGAAACUAGAAGUAUGUGAGAAAGAGACAUGUUUCAAGAAGAAGUUCAUGAACUUCAGUUGCAGCUGAAUGGAUUGAGAAAAUCCAUCAGCCGUAGUUCCAUCAAAUCAAACCAGUCGACUCUUCUUUAAAACUCUUCUAGAACAAAAAAAAUUCAAUCUAUCCUCAUGUAUUCACUGUGGAAAAAAUAUUCACCUAUCUAACCACUGCAGGUAGGUUUAGAAAUAAAGGGGAGAAACCCCUUGAAAAUUCUAAUGCUCCUUAUUAUUUUUAUUAUGGAAAAUUCGGUCACAUAUCUAAUCACUGCAGGUAUAAAAAUAGCAAGAGUUAGGUCUGGCGACCUGAAGCAACAAAUUUGGCAAACAGCUAGAAAACUAACUAGUUAGGACCCAAGUAGGCUUAGGUAUCUAAAAAUAAUUAAUUUAUUGUUGAAGGAACACCUCAAGAAAAUUCAAAAAAGGAAAAUAGUAUCUUGAUAACACGCGUUCCAGACACAUGACAUGCGACAAACAACUUUUCAAAUCAGUCACCAAGUUUGAUGGUGGAUCAGUAACCUUUGGAGAUAAAUCAAAAGUGAUGUAAUUGGAGUUGGAAAAGUCCCUCUCAGGUCAUCAUGCGAUGUGGACGAAGUCUAUAUUGUAGAUGAACUUGGAUAUAACCUGCUCAGCAUCAGUCAACUAUGUGACAGUGACUUUGAGGUUCGUUUUAAAAAAUAUGGGUGGAUUAUCGAAGAUGAAUCAAGUAAAAUCAUUCUAUCUGGAAGUAGAGAUAGAAAUGUUUACACCCUUAGUAAUAUUGAUGUCAUAUCGGAUCAGCUUUGUCUAGCAUCCAUAAUUGAUGAUCAUUGGGUAUGGCAUAGAAAACUUGAUCAUGCUAGCGUGCAUACUAUCCAAAAACUUUCUAAACAGGAUCAUGUCAUUGGUCCUCCAAAAUUAGUUUUUUUAAAAGAUCAUAUUUGUGAUUCAUGUCAAUUAGGUAAACAAACCAGAUCUUUCAAAAUCAAAGACAUUAUCUCUACAACAAAACCUCUCCAACUGUUGCACAUGGACCUUUUUGGUCCAACCAGGAUUGCUAGCAUUAGUGGUAACAAAUAUGCUUUUGUUAUAGCAGAUGAGUUUUCACGAUUUACCUGACUUAUUUUCUUGAGUCAUAAAGAUGAAGCACUAAAGAAUUUUAAAAUCCUCUGCAAAAAGGUUCAGCGAGAAAAUGGAUAUUACAUCGCUUCCAUAAGAAGUGAUCAUGGAGAAUAAUUUUAAAGUAGAGCAUUUGAAAAUUUCUGCAAUGACCAAGGAAUCUCCCAAAACUUCCCAUCCCCCAGAUCAUCACAACAAAAUAGAGUAGUGGAACACAAAAAUAGAACUCUUCAAAAUAUGGCAAGGACCAUGAUUGCAGAAAACUCACUUCCACACAACUUCUGGGCUGAAGCAGUAAACACUGCAUGUCAUAUCAUCAACAGGUGUCUGAUAAGACCUAUUCUCAAAAAGACUCCCUUUGAACUGUGGAAAGAUAAAAGACCUAACAUAAGUUAUUUUCAUCCAUUUGGAUGCAAAUGCUUCAUUCAGAAUAAUAGAAAGGACAACCUUGGUAAGUUUGACCCAAAAAGUGACGAAGGUAUUUUUCUUGGAUACUCUCCCUCAAAUAGAACAUAUAAAGUUUACAAUAAACAUACUUUAUCUAUUGAAGAAUUUGUUCAUGUUGUGUUUAUUGAUACUAACCACUCUUCGAGGAAUGAAAAAAUUCUUGAUGAUGAGGAAAUUGCUAUAGUUUCAAAAUCUGUUCAAGUAGUUGAGGACACCCAUGAAGAAGUCACCGAUCACCAAUGUCAGUCGACUGACAGUCACAUGGAGAAUCAAGAAUCUCAUGCACCAAAACCACCAAAUCUUAUUGAAAAAGAACCAACUACAGUCGUACCAAAUGAAUGGAAAAGUGAACCUAGAUAUCCUCAUAAAUUCAACAUUGGCAAACCCCAAGAAGGCAUGAAAACUAGAAGAUCGCAAAAGCACACUUCAAAUAUUGCUCUCAUCUCAUAGUUUGAACCAAAAAAGGUAGACUAGGCCCUUGAAAAUGAUCGCUAGAUAAGCGCAAUGCAAGAGGAAUUUGGCCAAUUCGAGAAAAGUAAGGUACGAAAGCUCAUUUCUAAACCUCCUAACGCAUCUAUUGUUGAAACAAAAAAUGGGUUUACAGAAACAAGCUAAAUGAGUUCGGUCAAGUGGUAAGGAAUAAAGCAAGGUUGGUUGUUCAAGGAUACUCUCAACAAGAGGGAAUUGACAAUGAAUAAACCUUUGCUCCAUUUGCCAGGUUAGGAUUAAUCUGUAUUCUAUUAGCCUAUGCUGCUCAUAAAUAUUUCAGACUUUUUCAGAUGGAUGUAAAAAGUGCGAUCUUAAAUAGAUUCAUAUCUGAGGAAGUAUAUGUCAAGCAGCCCCCAGGUUUUGUAAAUAAGUCAUACCCAAACCAUGUCUAUGAGUUGUCUAAAGCUCUAUAUGGACUUAAACAAGCUCCUAGAGCAUGGUAUGAAGCUCAUUCUUAGUCAACUAUGAUUUUAACGAGGUAAUAUUGACAAUAUUUUUUUCAUCAAACAUUCCGACAGAGGUAAUUUGAUUGUACAAAUUCACAUUUAUGACAUUAUAUUUGGGAGUAUUAACACAGAUUUAAGCAAGAAUUUUUCAAAUAUCAUGAAAGGAAAAUUCAGGGUGAGCAUGAUGGGAGAGUUAAAAUUCUUUGUUGGGUUACAAAUUAAGCAAUCCUAGAAAGGAAUCGUUAUUAGCCAAAUAAAGUACACAAAUAAGCUUAUAAAGAAAUUUGGUAUGACAAAUGCCAAAGCCAUAGGGACUCUCAUGACUCUGUCAACCGUCCUUGAUGAAGACAAGAACGGUAAGAGCGUAGAUGAAAUAAUGUAUCGAGGUAUGAUUAGAUCUCUACUCUAUCUUACUGCAAGUCGAUUAGAUAUUAUGUUUAGUAUGCGUAAGUGUGCAAGGUAUCAGUCGACUCCUAAAGAAUCCUAUUUAACUGAUGUUAAACGAAUUAUCAGAUAUCUAAUAGGGACAAUCGACUAUGGAUUAUGGUAUGAAAGCUCUAAUAUUUUUUACCUCAAAGGUUUCUCAAUUGCAGAUUUUGUAGGUGACAAAACAGACAGAAAAAGCACAAGCGGAACUUGUCAAUUACUGGAAAAAGCACUCAUUUCCUGGCAUAACAAGAAAUAAAAUUAUGUUUCCUUAUGCAUUACUGAAGCAGAAUAUCUGGCUAUAGGCAACUGCUGCACACAAGUUCUGUAGAUUAUGCAUCAGCUUUUAUAUCACGAUUUUCUUCUUAAAUCUAUUCCAAUUAUGUGCAACAAUACUAGUGCUAUUUUUCUUUCUAAAAAUUUUGUGCAUCAUUCUAGAGCUAACCACUUGAAAUCAAGCAUCAUUUCAUUCGUAACUGUAUUGAAAAAGUUGAUAUUGUGUUAGAAUUUCUAAAUACUGAAAACCAACUUCCCGAUAUUUUUAUAAAACCCUUGUUUGAAGAAAGAUUUUGUUCUCUUCACGAUAAAAUCAGCAUAUCCUCAAUAAGCCUCUAAUGCUCACAAGUUCCAUAUUUUAAGUGACUAAUUUUUUUUAAUCUAGUUUCAAAAAUUAUUUUUAAAAAACACCAUCUGUGAAAACCUUCAAUUGAUAUGAUUACUAUUUGUAUGCAUUUAAUGUGUGAUUGGUGGAGGGGUACUCCAAAAGAAACUUUUUCAGUUGUCUUUUCACACUUCUUACUCUAAUCAAGGCAACUCUUUGCCACCCAUCAUUAUCCAUAUUAGAAACCCAUUCAUUCAUCUCUUACCAUCUCUUAUUCAGAAAUCCUGAUUUCUCAUGGCCAAAGCCAAACCAUCUCCAUCUUUCUCUAUGCCUCGAAAAAUUCACCGGUUUAAAUAGCUCAGCACACUGAUGAACCUAUUGACGUUGAGUCGUCAGAGGGUUCAUAUCACUAGGAUUCAAAGAUGAAUCCAACGAUUCUCCGGAGAAACCUCUCAUUACUCAAAAAAGGGUCGGCAAAUGUUCAAUGAAGUCGAAUCCCAAACAAUUCACAUAGAAAAAAGGGAAAAUUGAAAGUGUAGAAUUUGGUCUUGAGGACAAGAUAAUCUUCUAUGGUCCGAAAGAGAAAUUCAAAUAUGUUACCUAUAAAGGGAAGUCAAUUGCUUACGGACGCACUGUUAGUUUAAAAUCUAUGAAGAAUUCUCACUAUGAUGUUAUCUCUAUGUUGAAACUUACAAACUCUUGUCUUUGUUUGCAACUGUUAGUGAUACUUUUUAUGAGGAACCUGUGCGUAUGUUUUAUGCAAAUUUAGUUGUGAAUGACAAAGAUGAUUUGGAAUUCAUGGUACUAAGAACUCACAUCAUUCUUGACACUUACCAGUUAAAAAAGAUUUUCUCAACUAAGUUUCUUGGGUAUAGUCUUUUUUUUUUUUUGCAAUAUUCAUGGCUUGAUGAUUUUGAAGUGGCUUUUGAAGAAGCAAAUGGUGUUUGUUUGAAAACACCCCUGAUAUAGGUCCUAAGAACCUAAAAUUUAAGCAUCAUGUGUUAGCCCACAUUAUUGCUAUCACCCUCCUUCCUCGCACUGGUCCCUUAGCACCUUGUCUACCCGAGAUGUGUUUGUCCUAUGCUGCCUUGUGAAUGGAAAAAACUAUUGAUUAGUUUGCAUAGAUACGUCAAUACAUGCUUGAGAGUAUGUGGAUGUCUCUUCUGCUGCUAAUAGUUUGCCCUAUGGUCUACUAAUCUCUCAUGUUCUGUAAGUGAUGAAAGUGGACUUAUCUCCCUUUGCUCCUAAAGUCAUCUCUAACACUUAUGACAAAACAAUAUUUGCAAUGAUAGGAUACACCUUGGUUGAAGGGACUUGGAUUAAGAAAGACAAAGCCCCAGAAACUACAACCUCAACUCAAUAGGGUGCUGGAGGAAUUAAGUCUGAAGCCAGCCAACUUUCAUCCUCAGAUUCAUUGCUGCUAAUCCAACAAAGCAUUGUAGGUAUCAAGGAUAUGCUAACCAUUAUGCAUGGACAUGUGACAAAAUCAGGGAUGUGAUGAAGGAAACUGGAGCAUAUGUAGCAAGACUAAAGAUCAAUCUUCAGACUACAAAGAGACUAGGGAUUAGGGCUAUGCAGGAUGUUACUGAUCGAUUGGACAAAGUCUCCAAGGAGAUUGAUGCCUCUUAUAAUAGCUUCUGCACUAAAGUAAUCAACACUCUGAAGUAUUUCCUUGGAAGGAGUUGAUUAUGUGGGAUGUUUAAACUAUGACUAUUUUUGUGUGUGUUUUGUUAAGACUUUAUAUGUGGUGGUGCUUACUUAGGCAUAUGGUCAACUAUGGGCCGACUAUGCCUGCUUUUGCUUGACUAUGACUUGUUAGUUAUUAUAUAUAUAAGUACUGCAUGCAUCUUUUCUGCCUGUUACUAUCUAUCAUUAUCUGUGUAUCUUCUCUUCCUUCUUUUUGAUUGAUCUCAAAAAGGGAGAAGAAAAAGAUUAUAAAGAUAGGGGGAGCAAUACAUGGACACAAAGAUAGGGGAAGCACAACAGGCAAAAUGGAUACAAUAUGAAAGGGAAGUAUCGAAUAAAUAAUCUUCUAAAAUCUUUAAAUCUUUUGUUUAUUGUCUAUCAUCAAAAAGGGAGAAAUUGUUAGGUUUAGAAUUUUAAUGAUGGCUAAAAACAAAAGUCAAAGACUAUCUACUAAUGUCUCUACUACUUAUGCAGGUCAACUGUCCAAAGCACAAGGGAAUUUCCUAAAAUCAGUGCACUCGAAUAGGAAAGCAAUCAAAAAAGGUUUAAUAGCAGAGGCAGAUAACUAUCUUAUAAAGAUCCCUCCAUCAAACGUGUACAUUAAGGAAACAAGAAAGGAAAGGAAAUCAAUCAACUAUGCAAGACCUAUGGAAGACUCAAAUUAAGUGAUUGGAAAUAAAACUGCAAGAAUGGAAAGCUUUAGAGACAAAGACCGUCAAGGAAGAUCUAACAUAUCGAUUGAGUUUGAAUCCAACCAUGUUCCAUACACUGGAUUCAAGAGGAAACCCUUGGGUCCUACUCUUAGAACACACUACCUCAAAAAGAAAAUCAUAAUCAAUAAUUUUCCAAAUCUCAGAGAAAUGAAUAGAUAGCCUCAUCAAGAACUAUAUAAAAAGAGAAUAAAAGACGUGGAAGAUCAUGCAGCUUUAUACAAGUUUUCACUCUUUCUAUUUUUUAGGAAAACCAAUGUAUUUCUAACCUUACUGGUGUCUGAAAAGAUAGAGAGAAAAAGAAAGCAAGUGAAAAAUUGUUUCAAGAUUUCAUACUGUAACUCGUUAGUGGUAAACGUGACAAAAACCACACUCUCAUUUGUAACUGUUCGAUUGAAGAUCUAAGAAAACUCUUUUGACCCAAGAAUAUUGGAUGUAGUUACCACAUUGAUACACGAACUAGUAUAAAAAUCUCCGCCUCUCCUGUUUUUGUCUUUACAUUUUGUUAUAUUCAUUUGUUGAACUAACUAUUGUUUGCAGAAUCUCAAUAGUCAACUAAGAAUAAAGUUAGUUGACUAAAGAAUUUUUAUAAUUCACCUAGUUCCCUCUCUUGUACUUUCAUAAGGAACACCUUAUAUACAAUAUUAUACAUAUAAACAUCAAAUAUGUUAUUAUACGGUGAAUGUACAACAUCUGAAGGCAAAAAUCUAAACUCUUCUCUACUAUUAUAUACAUUGUAUAACUGUGAACACAUGAUUAUAGAUUAAUAAUAUAUAUAUAUAUAUAUAUAUAUAUGUGUGUGUGUGUGUGUGUGUGUGUGUGUGUACAUAAAAUAUACACACCUCAUUUAGAGCCUUUAAAAUCUAUCAUGUCAACCUAGUCAUCCAUUUUAACACCAUAAUCGCCAUUUAUAAUAGACAAAUAACUUUUGAAUGAAUAAAAAGUGAAGAAGACGAAGAAUCCAAUUAUAAUAAGAACAUAUUCAAUAAAAAGAGUAGAUGGGCGGAUACUUCCUCAUAAGGUUGAGCAUUACAAUGAACAUAAAUCUGAAAUAUUGAAAAAUUUUAAUUUUUUUUAUUGUCUUCACUGUUGAAUCUGGGUUUUUUGUGUAGGUAUUGGAGUUUGUUGCUGAAAAUCAAUUGUGUGUUGUUAUUCUGAGCUAAAAUCAGUUGUAGAUACUGAUUUGAAGAUUGAGGUUUGAACCUAAAACUUGAAAAGUAAAGUAAAUACCCAUUUUGGGCUUGAUAUUUGAAUUUGAAAUUUGCGAUAUGUAGUUCAUUCAUAGUGGAAGACUAUUUUGGAGUGUUUAUUUUGAAUAUAUAUAUAUAUAUAUUUGAAAUUCACGAUAUGUGGUUCAUUCGUUGUUGAAAGACUAUUUUGAAGUGUUUAUUUUGCAAAAAAUUAUAUAUAUAUAUAUAUAUAUAUAUAUAUAUAUAGAGAGAGAGAGAGAGAGAGAGAGAAAGAGAGGAGGGGGGUAGGCGAGGGAGAGAAAAAGAGUUGAAGAGAGAUGCAUGAAAGAAGAAAAAUAUAAUUUUGAUUUAGAGCCGGGGGCCAAACCGAGUAAAUCUGAAUUAGUUGGGCUAAACCGGGUAACUCAAAUCUAUGGGCUAAUACCCAACUUGAAUAUCCCUUUGAAAUAUAAUAGCAAAAUAGCCACUCUUUAAUGCGGAAUAAAAUUUGAACAAAAAUACACCGACGGAAGAACUCCAGGAACAAGAGCGGAGUUUAGACAUUUCUUAGUUCAAAUUCCAUAAAUAAAUGUUGGAGUUUGAAAUGUGUAGUUGAGACUCCAGAAAUAAUUAAUAGAAUUUAAACCUACAAGAUCAAUUACUAGAGUUUGUUUACACUUGAAAUUUAAAAUCCAAAAAAAUCUCUGCAAUAUUUUGUUUCUUCCUUGUUCAGCAACACUAAUGGCAACUCCUUUUACUAUUUUCUUAACAAUAUUCCUAAAGGAUUCAUAACACAUUCAUGCUUUUGUGUUACUCUAAUACAUUAUUAUAACGGCACCAAGUGUAUUUAAAUAAAUAGACAUAACAACCCAACAAUUUACCAAAUACAAAAAACGAAACAAGCACGAAUCUGAUGGCAUGUUCACUGUCCAUGAAAAUUGACCGGGAAGUUAGUGUAAGAUUUUUUGUGCAUUAACAUGCAGCCUUAAUUAGUGGAUGUAUUGAUUUUUUAGAGAGGCAGAGUAACAUCUAAUGGCACUAGUUCAUUUUAUGCUGAGUUCAAUCAGUUGAACUGAAAUACUACUCUAAAAACUUGAACUCCAACAUAGUAUGCUCGAAUUUGAACUUAUAAAGACUUGAACUCCAAGAAUCGUUCUUGGGGUUUGACACUCCAAUAGAUAUUUACACUUAGAUUGUAAAAGUUUGAACCUCAUGAAUUGCUACUAGAUACAAAUUCCAAUAAAUUUUUUGGGUUCCACUUGUAAAAUCAUUGAACUCCAGCAUUGUCUGCUGGAGUUGUUUCGUAUUUAGUUGGGGCUAUUUUUGUCCAAAAGUGUAAUGACCCGGCCGGUCGUUUUGAGAAUUUACACCCCGAUCCCCUAUUAACUAUUUUUUCCGUAUUUGUUUUCUACUAUUUUGAUUUGCCGGGAUGUUUGGUUUUGGGUUUCGGAGAGUUUUGGGACACUUAGUCCCUAAAGGACAGCUUAAGUUUUAGAAAUUAGAUCGUAGUUGGAGCAGUAUGAAGACGAUCUUGGAAUGGAAUUCUGACGGUUCCGUUAGCUCCGUUGGGUGAUUUCGGGCUUAGGAGCGAGUUCGGAUUGUGUUUUGGAGGUCCGUAGUUAAUUUAAGCUUAAAAUGCCGAAAGUUGAAUUUUUGAAGUUUCUGGUUCGAUAGUGAGGUUUUGAUCUAAGGGUCGGAAUAGAAUUCCAGAAAGUAGACUAGCUCUGUAGUGUUGAAUGUGAUGUGUGUGUAAAAUUUCAGAUCACUCGGACGAGGGUUGAUACACUUUUUGAUCGAAAGCGUAAAUUGAGAGUUUUUAGAGUUCUUAGGCUUGAAUCCAUGGUUAAUUCGAUGUUUUUAUAUUGUUUUAGGUGAUUUGAGGAUUGUUAUAAGUUUGGAUAGUGGUAUAGGACUUGCUCGUAUUUUUGGUUGAGGUCCCGGGAGCCUCGAGGUGAUUUCGGAGGGUUGUCAGAAGAAUUGGACGUGGUUUGAAGCAGCUGGAGCUACUGAUCUCUGUCAUAACUGCACAUGCGGCUAGGUCCCGCAGAAGCGGCGCCAGCAUCGCAGAAGCGAAAAAGAGGAAAGCCAGCAAGAGCCGCAAAAGCGGGCUCUUCACCGCAGAAGCGGCACCGCAUCUGCGUAAGGGUAACCGCAGGUGCGGAAGUUGGGUUUUAGUGAAUUGUCGCAGAUGCGACUUUAGUUCCGCAAAAGCGGUGGCCAUAGAAGUGGAUUCGCUGGGCAAAACAUAUAAAUAGAUACCUUCGCGAAUUUGAGUUAUUUUUCACCUAUUUUCAAACGGGAAGGAACUUUGGGGAGCAUUUUCAAGGGAGAUUUUCAGAGGGAUUCGUGGAGGCAAAGCCUUUGGUCCUUAAGCUCGUUAUUAUUGUAAUUUUUAUCAUUCUAAGCAUGAAAAAAUAAGGAAAAUCAGUGGUAAAUUGGGGGUUAGGGCUUGGUUAAUUAGAGAGCUUUGAGUGAUAAUUUGAGGGACCAUUUAAGGUCCGAUUUUGGUACUUUCGGUAUGACUGAACUCGUGAGAGUAUGAGUAUUCUGAGAAUGUAAAUUUUACCCAAUUUCGAGAUGUGGGCCCGAGGGGCAUUUUGGUCAUUUUACCUAAUUUCGUGUGUUAGCUUAGAAUUUAUUUGUGGAAUCAGUUACUUGAAGUUAUAUUUACAUGCAAUUGAAUUGAAUAGAUUUGGGCCAUUUGGAGUCGAGUACUCAUGGCAAGAACGUGGUUUCAGAUUGACUUUGAGCCGGUUUGAGGUAAGUGGCUUACCUAAGUUGUAUGGGGGAACUCCCCUAUUUGGUAUUAUUGAUAUUUGAAAUGCCUUGUACAUGAGGUAACGAGUGUGUACUUGUGCUAAUUGUUGAAAAAUCCGGUUUUCUUUAAGUAAUUUUAAUUAUGUUUCUUCUCCUGUUUAUACUACUUGCAAUUUAAGCAUGUUGUUAGCUUAGGGAAGCAUGUCUAAUUUCCUUAAUUACUUUACUUGCUCAAACUGCCUUAUUUGGAUUAUGUGCAGCAUGCUAGGCUAGAAAUACCUGUUUCUACCUUGGUAUGGAAUUUAAAUUGAAUUGUGUAUUCUUCGUGUUGUUGCUGUGUGUUUACUUUGGGACUACGGGAUGGUAUCCCGGGAGAUCCCCCGUAUGUUUACUUUGAGACUACGGAACAGUAUUUCGGGAGAUCCUCCUGCACAUUUACAUUGGAACUAAAGGAUUGCACUCGAUAGAUUCCCCCUGUACUGAGUAUUUACAUUUGGGACUACGGAUCGGUAUUCCGGGAGAUACCCUCGCAUUAUAAGUUGGACUACGGGAUGGUAUCCCGGGAGAUCCACUAGAUAUUUAUAUUUGGGACUACAGGACGGUAUCUUGGGAGAUCCCUGGUUGUUAUCUCUGUGUGGAGUUGUAUUUCUUUCUGUGUUUACUUUGCCUCUAUAGUAGUAGUUGUUGUUCUUUCUAUUCUGUGUUACUUUUACUGUUGCACUUAUUUAUACUGUCUUGUUUUACACUGUUAAACCUUGUAUUUCAUAUAACCUCAGUAGGGCCCUGACCUUCCUCGUUACUACCCGACCGAGGUUAGGCUUGGCACUUACUGAGUACCGAUGUGGUGUACUCAUGGCCUUUCUGCACAUGUUUUUCAUGUGUAGAUCCAGGUACUUCCACUCAGUCUUAUCACACUUGAGGCGAGGCGCUGUUGAAGAGACUCCGAGGUAUAUCUGCCGCUUCCGCAGACCAAAGAGUCCCUUUCUAUUCUCAGUAUUAGUAUAGCCCUUCUGUAUUUUCUUGUUGAUAGACAUUUCUGGAGUUAGAGCUUUUUAUGUAAUCUCUUAGCUUGUGAUUCAUGGGGUUCCAAAUUUUGGGAAGUGUUAUAUUGAGAUUUUUGUACUGCUAUACGCCAGGCGGCAUCUUAAACACUAUUUUAUUUUGUUAUUUCAAUUUUAUAUUAUUUUCUUUCCGCAAAUUGUUUCUUUUCCGCAUUAUUAGGCUUACCUAGUCGUAGAGACUAGGUGCCAUCACGAUAGGUCACGGAGGGCAAACUGGGGUCGUGACAAGUUGGUAUUAGAGCUCUAGGUUCAUAGGAGUCAUGAAUCACAAGCUAGUUUAUUAGAGUCUCGCGGAUCGGUACAGAGACGUCUGUACUUAUCUGCGAGGGGCUAUGUAACUGUUAGGAAAAUUCCAUUUAUUUGAUUUCCUUGUCGUGUAAGAUUUUGACAUCACAAUUCUAAACUUAUGUCUUCUAUUCUCUCACAGAUGGUGAGGACACGUGCUACCAGAGAUGAUCAGGCACCCGCGCCCCCUACUAGAGCCGUUAGAGGCCGGACCAGGGUAGAGGUCGAGGAUGCGCACGUGGUGUGACCAGAGCACCCGCGCGAGCUGCCACCGAGGUACCACCAGCAGUUCCAGCUGGAGUCCAGGCACCUGAUACCCUACUGCUACUACUACUCUAGCUCUUUAAGAGACUUUUGCGCAGUUUAUGAGCAUGCACACCACUCUGGCUCAGGCAGGGUUGCUUCCCCUUUCUACAGCCAUAUCCCAGGCCGAGGGAGGAGCACAGACUCUCGCCGCUGCACUCCUGAGUAAUGAGUGCAUGUUGAUCAGGUCCCUGAGAUUAUUCUUGUACUUCCUGUAGUCCCAGGUCAGCCCGAGGACAGGGCAGCAGCUUUAGAAAAUGAGCAACGGAGGCUUGAGAGGUUCAAGAAGUAUGAUCCUCCUGUAUUUAGUUGGGUAGAAUCAGAUGAUGCCUUGGGAUUUCUGGAGGAGUGUUACUGUAUCCUCCACAAUAUAGGUAUAUCAAAAUCGUGUGGGGUUUCUUUCACUUCCUUUUAGCUUCGAGGAACCGCCUAUGAAUGGUGGCGCACCUAUGAGUUAGACAGUCCGGAUGAGGAGCUUCACUGACUUGGACUGAGUUUUCAGAUAUGUUCCUGAGAGUGUUUGUUCCUCAGAGCCUUAGGGACGCAUGGCGCGUAGAGUUUGAGCAUUUGCGCUAGGGUACUAUGACUGUCUCAGAGUAUGUUGUCUGUUACACUAGCUUGGCUAGACAUGCCCCAGCCUUGGUUUCUACUAUUCGCGAGAGGGUUUGCCGGUUUAUUUCAGGGCUUAUUCCCAGCAUCAGGUCUAGCAUGGCUCGUGAGUUGGAGAUGGAUAUUUCUUAUCAGAAGGUUAUGAGCAUUGCUAGGAGGAUAGAAGGUAUGCAUGCUAGGGAGAGAGAGGAGAGGGAGGCCAAGAGGUCUCGAGAGUCGGGCCAUUAUUCUGGUGCCCGUGCUCCAACUGCAGUUCGUCAUGGUAGGGGUUAUGUGAGUUGCCCCAUUCAUUCAGCUCUUCCACCAGCCAGUGGUAUUCCAGCUCCUCCUAGGCCUCAGGAGCCUUAUUAUGCACCUCUAGUAUCUAGUGCGCCUCCUGCACGGGGUGCUUCCAACGGCAGUCCAACAGACCUGGCCCGAGCCAGUUACAGCCACCACGUCCUCCCAAAGCUUGUUUUGAGUGUGGUGACACACUCCAUAUGGUGAGGGAUUGCCCCAGACUUAGGAGGGGUGCACCUCCACAGACUUCUCAACCAUAGCGUGCCCCCAGAGUUCUCAGGCUAUGAUUACAGUACCAGUUUCUACCCCACCUGCUCAGCUAGCUAGAGGUGGAGGUCGGGGAGGUAGAGGUCACCCUAGAGGGGGAGGCCAGGCCAGAUAUUAUGCCCUUCCUGCCCAUACCGAGGUUGUUGCCUCCGAUUUUGUCAUCAUAGGUAUUGUCAUGGUUUGUCAUAGAGAUGCAUCGGUUUUAUUCGAUCUAGGAUCCAUCUAUUCUUAUGUGUCUUCUUAUUUUGCUACGCAUUUGGGUGUAUCUCGGGAUUCUUUGAGUUUCCCUAUUUAUGUUUCUGCUCAUGUAGGAGAUUCUCUUGUUGUGGACCGCAUUUAUCGAUUGUGUGUGGUUGCUCUUAGUGAUUUUAAGACUAGAGCCAAUUUAUUAUUACUUACCAUAGUAGAUUUUAAUGUUAUCUUGGGCAUGGACUGGUUGUCGUCCUAUUAUGCUAUUCUUGAUUGUCACGCCAAAACCGUGACACUGGCUAUGUCAGGUGUACCGCGAGUAGAGUGCAGGGGUACCUUAGAUCGUACUUCCAGUAGAGUUAUUUCUUUCCUUAAGGCUCAGCGUAUGGUUGAGAAGGGGUGUGACGCGUAUNNNNNNNNNNNNNNNNNNUCAGUCCUAGUAGUACGGGAUUUUCCUAAUGUGUUUCUAGUUGAUCUUCCGGGUAUGCCACCUGACAGAGAUAUUGAUCUUGGCAUUGAUCUGUUGCCUUGCACUCAGCCCAUCUCUAUUCCUCCGUAUCGUAUGGCUCCUCUUGAGUUGAAGGAGUUGAAGGAGCAGUUACAAGAAUUGCUUGAUAAGGGUUUUAUUUGGCCUGGUGUAUCACCUUAGGGUGCUCCUGUCUUGUUUGUGAAGAAAAAGGAUGGUUCUAUGCGUAUGUGCAUUAAUUAUCGCCAGUUGAACAAAGUUACAGUGAAGAACCGGUAUCCUUUUCCUUGUAUUGAGGAUUUGUUUGACUAGUUACACGGUGCACGAGUGUUUUCUAAGAUUGACUUGCGUUCAGGUUACCAUCAGUUGAAGAUUCGGGAGCCAGAUAUCCCGAAGACUGCUUUCAAGACUUGGUAUAGUCAUUACGAGUUCCUUGUUAUGUCAUUUGGGCUGACCAAUGCCCCAAUAGCCUUUAUGCAUCUGAUGCACGGUGUGUUUCGGCCAUAUUUUGACUCGUUCGUUAUUGUCUUUAUUGAUGAUAUUCUAGUAUACUCCCGGAGUCGGGAAGAUCAUGAGCAGCCCCUAAGGAUAGUGCUUCAGGCUUUGAGGGAAAAGAAGUUAUAUGCAAAGUUCUCGAAAUAUGAGUUUUGGUUGGAUUUUGUGGCUUUCUUAAGUCACGUGGUAUCGAGUAAGGGUAUACGGGUGGAUUUGAAGAAAGUGGAGGCAGUGCAGAGUUGGCCCAGACCAUCCUCAGCUAUAGAGAUCCAUAGUUUUCUUGGCUUGGCGGGUUAUUACCGUCGAUUUGUUAAGGGGUUUUCAUCUAUUGCAGCACCUAUGACCAGGCUGACCUAGAAGGAUGCUCCAUUUUAGUGAACGGAAGAGUGUGAGGCGAGUUUUCAGAAGCUCAAGACAACUUUGACUACAACGCUAGUUUUGAUAUUGCCUAUAGGUUCGGGGUCUUAAACUGUCUAUUAUAAUGCCUCGAGGAUUGGACUUGGAGCGGUAUUGAUGGAGAACGGUAGGGUGAUUGCCUACGCGUCCAGACAGCUGAAGGUACAUGAGAAGAAUUAUCUUGUCCAUGAUCUCGAGUUAGCUGCCAUUGUUCACCCCUUAAAGAUCUGGUGCCAUUAUUUGUACGGUGUUCCUUGUGAGAUUUAUACUGAUCAUCGGAGCUUGCAGCACCUGUUUAAGCAAAAGGACCUUAAUUUGCAUCAGAGGAGGUGGUUAGAGUUGCUAAAGGACUAUGAUAUCACUAUUUUGUAUCACCCGGGCAAGGCCAAUGUGGUGGCCGAUGCUUUGAAUUGUCGGGCAGAGAGUUUGAGGAGUUUGGCUUAUUUACCAGCAGCGGAGAUGCCCAUGGCGAUGGAUGUUCAGACCUUAGCUAGCUAGUUUGUGAGAUUGGACCUUUAGGAGCCCAAUCGGGUUCUAGCUUGUAUGGUUUCUUGGUCUUCCUUAUUUGAUCGUAUCAGGGAGCGUCAGUAUGAUGACCCUCAUUUGCUUGUCCUCAAGGACAAGGUUCAGCAUAGCGAUGCCAGAGAUGUGACUAUUGGUGAUGACGGGGUAUUGAGGAUGCAGGGUCGGCUCUGUGUACCCAAUGUUGAUGGGCUUCGGGAGUUGAUUUUAGAGAAGGCCCACAGUUCACGGUAUUCCAUUCAUCCGGGUGCCGCGAAGAUGUACCAAGAUAUUAGGUAGCACUAUUGGUGGAGGCAGAUGAAGAAAGAUAUAGUUGGAUUUGUAGCUCGGUGCCUCAAUUGUCAGCACGUAAAGUAUGAGCACUAGAGACCGGGUGGGUUGCUUCAGCAGAUAGAGAUUUCGGAGUGGAAGUGGGAGAGGAUCACCAUAGACUUCAUAGUUGAACUCCCACGGACUUUGACGAAUCGAUGCCAUUUGGGUGAUUGUGGAUCGGCUAACCAAGUCCGCGCACUUCAUUCCUAUGUGUACUACCUAUUCUUCGGAGCGUCUGGCGAAGAUUUAUAUUCGGGAGAUUGUUCGUCUGCAUGGUAUUCCAGUUUCCAUCAUUUCAGAUAGAGGAACUCAAUUUACAUCACGAUUCUGGAGGGCCAUUCAGCAUGAGUUGGGUACUCGAGUGGAGUUGAGCACAACAUUUCACCCUUAGACGGAUGGACAGUCCGAGUGCACUAUUCAGAUUCUUUAGGAUAUGCUAUAUGCGUGUGUGAUUGAGUUUGGAGGGUCUUGGGAUCAGUUAUUGCCAUUGGUAGAGUUUGCCUACAACAACAACUAUCAGUCCAGCAUUCAGAUGGCACCGUAUGAGGCUUUAUAUGGUAGGUGGUAUAGAUCCCCGGUGGGUCGGUUUGAGCCGGGUGAGGCUAGAUUAUUGGGAACAGACUUAGUUCAGGAUGCUUUGGAGAAGGUUAAGGUGAUUCAGGAUAGACUCUGUAUAUCCCAGUCCAGAUAGAAGAGUUACGUUGACCGGAAGGUUCGUGAUGUUUCAUAUAUGGUUGGAGAGCGGGUUCUGCUUUGGGUUUCGCCUAUGAAGGGCGUUAUGAGAUUCAAGAAGAAAGGAAAGUUGAGUCUAAGGUUUAUUGGUCCUUUUGAAAUAUUGAGACGUGUUGGGGAGGUUGCUUAUGAGCUUACCUUACCUCCCAGCUUGGCAGGAGUUCAUCCGGUAUUUUAUGUUUCGAUGCUCCGGAGGUAUCACGGUGAUCCGUCGCACGUGUUGGAUUUCAGUUCAGUUCAGUUGGACAAGGAUCUAUCUUAUGUUGAGGAGCCAGUGGCGAUAUUGGACAGGCUGGUUCGAAAGCUAAGGUCAAACAACAUUACAUCAGUAAAGGUUCAGUGGCGGGGUCAGCCGGUCGAGGAGGCGACCUGGGAGACCGAGCAGGACAUGCGCAACCGUUACCCUCAUCUUUUCACUACUUAAGGUAUGUCUCUAUGCUCCUUCGAGGACGAACGAUUGUUUAAGUGUGGGAGGAUGUAACGACCUGGCCGGUCGUUUUGAGAAUUUACGCCCAUAUCCCCUAUUAACUGUUUUUCCAGUGUUUGUUUUAUGCUAUUUUGAUCUGCCGGGAUAUUUGGUUUUGAGUUUUGGAGAGUUUUGGAACACUUAGUCCCUAAAGGGGAGCUUAAGUUUUAGAAAUUGGACCGUAGUCAGAGCAAUAUGAAGACGGCCUCGGAAUGGAAUUCUGACGGUUCCAUUAGCUCCGUUGGGUUAUUUCAGGCUUAGGGGCAUGUUUGGAUUGUGUUUUGGAGAUCCGUAGCUAAUUUAAGCUUAAAAUGCCAAAAGUUAAAUUUUUGAAGUUUCCGGUUCAAUAGUGAGAUUUUGAUCUAAGGGUCGGAAUAGAAUUUCGGAAGUUGGAGUAGCUCCGUAGUGUUGAAUGUGACGUGUGUGCAAAAUUUUAGGUCAUUCGGACGAGGGUUGAUAGACUGUUUGAUCGAAAACAUAAAUUGAGAUUUUUUGGAGUUCUUAGGCUUGAAUCCAUGGUUAAUUCGAUAUUUCAAUGUUGUUUUAGGUGAUUUGAGGAUUGGUAUAAGUUUGGAUAGUGGUAUAGGACUUGUUCGUAUUUUUGGUUGAGGUCCCGGGGGCCUCGGGGUGAUUUUGGAGGGUUGUCGGAAGAACUGGAAGUGGUUUGAAGCAACUGAAGCUGCUAAUCUCUGUCAUAACCGCACCUGCGGUUAGGUCCCGCAGGUGCGGAGCCGCAGAAUCGGCGCCAGCAUCGCAGAAGUGGAAAAGGGGAGAGCCAGCAGGAGCCGCAGAAGCGGCACCGCAUCUGCGUAAGGGUAAUCGCAGGUGCGGAAGCUGGGUUUUAGUGAAUUGUCACAGAUGCGACUUGAGUUACACAAAAGCGGGACCGCAGGUGCGGUCCCAUGGCCGUAGAAGCGGAUUCGCUGGGCAGAACAUAUAAAUAGAUGCCUUUGCGAAUUUGAGUUAUUUUUCACCUAUUUUCAAACGGGAAGGAACUUUGGGGAGCAUUUUCAAGGGAGAUUUUCAGAGGGAUUCGUGGAGGUAAAGCCUUUGGUCCUUAAGCUCGUUAUUAUGGUGAUUUUUAUCAUUCUAAGCAUGAAAAAUUAAGGAAAAUUAGUGGUAAAUUGGGGGUUAGGGCUUGGUUAAUUAGAGAGCUUUGAGUGAUGAUUUGAGGGAUCAUUUGAGGUCCGAUUUUGGUAAUUUUGGUAUGAAUGAACUCGUGAGAGUAUGAGGAUUCUGAAAAUAUAAAUUUUACCUAAUUCCGAGAUGUGGGCCCGAGGGGCAUUUUGAUCAUUUAAUCUAAUUUCGUGUAUUAGCUUAGAAUUUAUUUGUGAAAUCAGUUACUUGAAGUUAUAUUUACACUAUGCAGUUGAAUUGAAUAGAUUUGGGUCAUUUGGAGUCGAGUACUCGUGGCAAGAACGUGGUUUCGGAUUGACAUUGAGCCGGUUUGGGGUAAGUGGCUUGCCUAACCUUGUGUGGGGGAACUCCCCCUAGGAUUUGUUGUUAUUGAUAUUUGAAAUGCCUUGUACGUGAGGUGACAAGUGCGUACUUGUGCUAAUUGUUAAAAACCCCAGUUUUUUUUAAGUAAUUUUAAUUGUCUUUCUUCUCCUGUUUAUACUACUUGCAAUUUAAGCCUGUUGUUAGCUUAGGGAAGGAUGUCUAAUUGCUUUACUUGCUCAAACUGCCUUAUUUGGAUUAUGUGCAACAUUAGGCUAGAAAUACCUGUUUUACCUUGGUAUGAAAUUUAAAUUGAAUUGUGUAUUCUUCGUGUUGUUGCUGUGUGUUUACUUUGGGACUACGGGAUGGUAUCCCGGGAGAUCCCCUCGUAUGUUUACUUUGGGACUACGGAACGGUAUUCAGGGAGAUCCCCCUGCACAUUUACAUUGGAACUACGGGGCUGCACUCGAUAGAUUCCCCAUGUACUGAGUAUUUACAUUUGGGACUACGGAUCGGUAUUCUGGGAGAUCCCCUCGCAUUAUGAGUUGGACUACAGGACGGUAUCCGGGGAGAUCCACCAGAUAUUUAUAUUUCGAACUACAGGACGGUAUCCUGGGAGAUCCCCGGUUGUUAUCUCAGUGUUGAGUUGUAUUUCUUUUUGUGUUUACUUUGCCUCUGUAGUAGUUGUUGUUGUUCUUUUUAUCCCGUGUUACUUUUACUGUUGCACUUAUUUAUACUGUCUUAUUCUACACUGUUAAACCUUGUAUUUCAUUUAACCUCAGUAGGGCCCUGACCUUCCUCGUCACUACCCGACCGAGGUUAGGCUUGGCACUUACUGAGUACCGCUGUGGUAUACUCAUGCCCUUUCUGCGCACGUUUUUCAUUUGCAAAUUCAGGUACUUCCACUCAGUCUUAUCACACUUGAGGCGAGGCGCUGUUGAAGAGACUCCGAGGUAUAUCUGCUGCGUCCGCAGACCAAAGAGUCCCUUUCUAUUCUCAGUAUUAGUAUAGCCCUUCUGUAUUUUCUUGUUAAUAGAUAUUUCUGGAGUUAGAGCUUUUUAUGUAAUCUCUUAGCUUGUGAUUCAUGGGGUUCCGGAUUUUGGGAAGUGUUAGGUUGAGAUUCUUGUACUGUUAUAUGUCAGGCGGCAUCUUAAACACUAUUUCAUUUUGUUAUUUCGGUUUUAUAUUAUUUUUUUCCGCAAAUUAUUUUUUUUCCCGCAUUAUUAGGCUUACCUAGUCGUAGAGACUAAGUGCCGUUACGAUAGUUCACAGAGGGCGAACUGGGAUCGUGACAAAAAACAAUUCAUGUGAAAGAAGUGGCUAAAUACCAAUAACUUUUUAAAUACGGCUCAACACUAAUAGCAUGUGUUAAAGUAACUAUUUGGUAAUUAUUUUCCAUUAUAUGCACAUAUUAUACGUAUUUUUAUUUUACUGAUAACACAAAGUGUUAAAUAAAAUUUAACAGGAUGAAAUCCUUUAUUAAUGUUAAUUCAUGUGAACAUAGUAGUAUCACAUAGCAUCUCUAAAAUUGUAAAAAUAACAAAGUACAAAUAUAUAAUUUUAAAAAAGUUAGACCUUUCAGCAGAUAAUAGAAAGUGUACAUAAAAAAUAACAUUAACAUGAACCAUGAACCAUGAACGCAUUAAACAACAAUUAAAAAUUAUUAAUAUUGGUUUCGGAGUUGAAUUAAUUAAAUACGAUGAAUAUAACUAAUUAAGGUGAAUUUUAUUUAUUAACGUCACCUAUAAUGCAUUGGAGGUUUGGAGAUAGACCUUAGAGGUUAAAGGUUUCAAAUUGAGCAUGACUAAGACAUAGUACUUAGCGUACAAGUUCAAUGACGAGACAAGGGGAGCGGAUAUAGACGUGAGGCUUGAUUCACAAGUCAUCCCUAAGAGAGGAAGUUUCAAGUAUCUUCGGUCAAUUAUCCAAGGAAGUGUGGAUAUUGACGAGGAUGUAUCACACCGUAUAGAGGCGGAUGGAUGAAAUGGAGGUUAGCAUCCGGCGUCCUAUGUGACAAGAAUGUGCCACCAUAAUUUAAAGGUCAGUUUUACAAGGUGAUAGUUAGACCGACAAUGUUAUAUGGGACUGAAUGUUGGCCAUUCAAAAACUCCCUUAUCCAAAAGAUGAACGUAGCAGAACUGAGGAUGUUGCGAUGGAUGUGCGGGCACACUAGAUUGGAUAAGAUCAGGAAUAAGGAUAUUUGGGAGAAAGUGGUUAUGGACCCCAUGGAGGAUAAGAUGUUCGAAGAUUCGGGCAUGUGAGAUGGAGAAGCCUAGAUGCCUCAGUGAGGCAUUAAUAUAUAUAUAUACACACACACUUAGGUAUUGGAUUUAGUUUUGUAAAAUAUAUUGUCUUGCUAUUACUUCUCUAUUGCUAUCUUCAAUUUAGUUUUCUAAAUAUAUUGUCUUAAUAUUACUUGUAUCAAAGGCUUCUUCCAUUUUCUUUAGCUGAGGGUCUAUCGGAAACAGUUCUUCCAGGAUAGGGGUAAGGUGUGAACGGUUGGUACUGGCUGGUAGGAGAAGAGGUAGAGGACGACCUAAGAAAUAUUGAGGAGAGAUGAUCAGGCAGGACAUGACGCGACUUCAACUUGCCGAGGACAUGGAUCUUGAUAGGAGGGUAUGGAGGUCGAAGAUUAGGGUGGGGUAAUAGGUCGCAGUGUGUUCUUCUGAACCGUUUCAGGUUUACUAGGACUAGUCUGCUAGUACCUUGUAGUUGUUUCUUAGAAUGCUAGUAUUAGGGUGGUUUUUAGUACUAUCUUCCACUUCGGUUUUCUAGUACCUUGGCACUGUUAUUGCUUGGCUAUUGCUAUUGCUUUCUUCCAUCUGUUUUUCGGUUCAUACAUUGUUGAUUUUAUUUUCCUGGCUUGUUGUUGAUAUUUACCUGUUUUUAUUCUUUCUCCCGAGUUGUGGGUCUUUCGGAAAUAAUUUAUCUACCUCCUUAAAGUAGGGGUAAGAUAUGCAUAUACAUUACCCUUUUCAAAUCCCACUCGUGAGAUUUCACUGAAUUGUUGUUGUUGUAACAUCGAUUAUAUAAUAAGCUAAAAAUCUUAUAGCCUCUCUCCCUAGAGUCCCAUCCAAAAAGGGUAAAAGGAAAGAAAAAAAGAGAGGAGGAAAAUAAUUGCGAUUCCCCAUCCUUUUCUGUAUUUGAAGUCUGUUGGUCAUAAUAACUUAAAACUUCAACGAAUGUAUUCAAUUUGACUUUGCUAAUUUGUCUUCUAUAAAAGUAUCAUAACAAAUUGUUAUUACGCUUCAAUUUUAAACUAGUUGUGUCAAUUAUAUGAAUUACAAUAUCAAUAUCCACCAUUUACUUUAUAAGUAAGGUUAAGAUGUCUAUUUCAUUAUUAAGAUGUUUGCUUCAAAUUUGCACAAUAAAAGCUAAAUCUAAUUGUUUCUCGUCAUUUGAACGUGUAUAAUCUAUCUUUCUUUAAAAAUUAAUAAAUAUAUAAUUUAAAAAUAAUAUUCAAAUAUUAUAUAAUAAAAUAUUAUUUUUAAAAUUUAUGUGUUGUCGCAAAAAAUAAGUUGUUCCAUGAAGCAUGCUCCAAAAGCUACUAGCGAUGGCAACUGCCAAAGGUAAGGUAGUCGUCGAAAGUACUGAUUGUGAGGUGGCGUUUCUGAUAAUGGUAACUGGUAUUUCUAUAGUGAAAGACAAGUAAUGGUUGAAUGGUAGUUGCUUAUAGUUCUGCUUGACGAUGAAGGUAGUUGACAGUAAAAACUGGUGGUAAAAGAAAGCUGGCAGAGGAGAUGACUGAUAGUGAAGAUGGUUGGUUAUAGUAGUUGAUUGUGGAAGUAGUUGGUAUUGGUAGCGAUUAUCCGUAGUGAUUAUGUGUAACGAUCCGGCCGGUUGUUUCAUGAAUUACUGCUCCAUUUCCCCUAUUUCUGCUUUCUUAUGUGUUGUUCAGCUUUCAUCGUAUCGUGUUAGUUGGUUCGGGCUUGGAGUAGUUUUGGAGUGUUAUGAGACACUUAGUCUCUUAAGUUGACCAUUUAGUUGGAAAAGUCAAUCGGAAGUUGACUUGUGAGUAAAUGAUCUUGGAGUUUGGUUUUUAUGGUUCAGAUAACUUCGUUAGGUGAUUUGGGACUUAGGAGCGUGUUCGGAAUGUAAUUUGGAGGUCCGUGGUAGAUUUAGGCUUGAAUUAGCGAAAUUGAAAAUUUGACGUUUUCCGAUCGGCAAUGAAAAUCUUGAUAUAGAGGUCGGAAUGGAAUUCCGAAAAUUGGAGUAGGUCCGUAGUGUCAUUUUGUGACGUGUGUACAAAAUUUCAGGUCAUUCGGAGUUGAUUUGAUAGAUUUCGGCGUCGUUUGUGGAAUUUAAAAGUUUCUAAGUUCUUAGGCUUGAAUUCGAGGUUGCUUUGGUGCUUUAGUGUUGUUUUGAGUGAUUCGAAGGCUCGACUAAGUUUGAAUGAUGUUAUGGGAUGUGUUGACAUGUUUGGUUGAGGUCCAGAGGGCCUCUAGUGAGUUUCGGGAGGUUAUCGGACCAAAUUCAUGGUUUUGAGAGUUGCAGAUUUUUGCUGGUUUCUGUUGCAGAGGUUUGUUCUUCGCGUUCGCGAGAGAGCUCUCGCGUUCGCGAAGGGAUGUGGAAUGAGGCAGGUGAGUUGAUCUUCGCAUUCGCUAUGUUGGCCCCGCGUUCGCGAAGGUUGAGGCAGAGUGUGCAUCACGAAUGCGUGGCAGAGCUCGCGUUCGCGUAGAAGGGUGAAGUAGGCUUGGGCAUCAUGACAUAAGGCAUCGCGUUUGCGGCCAGAGGAAUGCGUUUGCGUAGGCCAAGCUAGUCAAGGCAUCGCGUUCGCGAAAGAGGAAAAGAUUGAGCAGGGAAUUUGUGGUUCGCGAACGCGAGGCUUUGACCCCGUUCGCGAAGAAGGGAGCACCUGGGCAGAAAGUAUAAAUAGAGGCCUUCACGGGUUUUAGCCCAUUUCUCAACAUUUUUGAACGGUUUUGAAGUUUUUUGAGAGGGAUUGAAGAGGGAUUCGAAGGGAGACACUUGGAAGUAAGGUUUUUGAACUCAAUACUCGAUUCUAUGGUGAUUUCUAACUAAUUAGACAUGAAAUUCGUGGUAUUUAAAGCCUAAAAUUGGAGAAUUAGGGCUUGAAAUUGGAGAGUGUAAAUUGGAAAUUUGAGGGGCCAUUUGAGUCCGAUUUUGAUGUUUUUGGUAUGUAUGGACUCGUGAGAGGAUAAGGAUUCUAUUGAUGUGAUUUUUAUCGGAUUCUGAGACAUGGGCCCGGGGGUCGGGUUUGACUUUUGAGAUUUUUAAUGUAAUUUGAUUAUUUUCGCAUGAGCUUUGUUCCCUUAGCAUAUAUUGAUGUUAUGGUUCUGAUUUUGGUUAGAUUCGGGGCAUUUGGAGGCUGAAUCGAGAGGCAAGGGCAUCGCGGGCUAGAGUUUGUCUUGGCUUGAGGUUAGUAAGACUUCCAAACUUGGUUCUGAGGGUUCGAAACCCCGAACUAUAUGUUCUAUGAUUACUAUUGAGGUGACGCAAAUGCCAAGUGACGGGCGUGUGGGCAUGCACCGUGAGAAUUGCGGCCUAGAUCAUUCCAUGGCACCGCUUAGUAACUCCUUCUUGUUGAUAUCCGUAUUUCUAUCAUGUGAUUAAAUAAAUGUGUUGUGAAAACAUGCUAGAAAUCCUGCUAGGGCUUCAUGCCGAUACUGUUGAGACCCGAGAGGUCGUUUCUUGCUAUCAUAUCAUUAGUUUCAUUAAUAUUCGGUGCUCAGUCUUGUUCAUGCAUUUUAUAUCAUGUUUUAGUCUCAGUUAUAACUAUUUGGCACAUCAUAUCAUUGUUUCGGACUAGUUUCAUGACAUUUUGAGCCCGUGAGUGUGAGACUGGAGAGUGAUGAUUGAGUGAAGCCGAGAGCCUGAUUGUGAGUGAUAGUUAUGGGAUCGGGCCACCCACCGCAGCGGUUAUGUUGAUGAUUAUGAUAGCGCUUGGGCUGUAGGAGCCCCUCCGGAGUCUGUAACACACCCCAGUGAGCGCAGUUGAUGAUAUUGAGGGAUGGAUCUUCCCUGGAUAUGGAUCUUGUCCGAAGUACUUAUACCUAGAGAUGGAUGUUCUCCACAAAGUUGGAAUGCCCAUCCUCGAUACUGGAUGACUGCGGUCAGCGAUAUGUAUAUAUCUCGGGAUGUAUCUUCCAUGGGCCGGAUGGCCAUAAACAGUACCGAGUGGUUGAGCACUUGUGAGAGGAGGUACAUGGAACAUUGAUCAUGUUAUAUGUGCAUUGGUACAUAGAGAUUUCCUGAGCUUUAUACUCCGUACUGUCAGACUGCAUUAUUUAUUGUUGAGUUUUUACAUGAACUGCAAGCAUGUCUACUUUCUGUACAAUUUAGUUGUAUUACCUGUAGAGGUUUGGUUCGUCACUACUUGUCAGUCCAUAGUUUGGACUUGUUACUUACUAAGUUGGUGUAUUCACGUUACCCCUUGCACCUUAUGUGCAGAUCUAGGUAUCUCGGGCCACUGUAGCGGUUGCUGAUCAUAUCAGUUGUGGACUUUCCUUAGAGAUAGCGAGGUAGCUGCCUGGAGAUCGCAGUUCUGCCUUCUCCUUCCUUAUCUUCCUCUUAGUGUAUUUGUUGGAUAUUCUCAGACUAUGUUAGUCUUGUUUAUUUCGAACAGUUUUAGUAUUUUGCUCAUAACUUAGUGACACCCAAGGCCGGGCUUGUAUUUUUCCACUUUGUUAAACUAGAUUUUAUAUCUUUAUUGGAUUUCUGUUGAAAAAUAGUUUUUCUCAAGUUUUAAAUGAAAAUGUAGUUCGUUUUGGAAAUGAGUUGGCUGGUCUAGUUUAACGAUAGGCGCCAUCACGAUCGGGUUAUUUUGGGGUCGUGACAAGGUUGUAUCAGAGCCUAGGUUACAUAGGUCUCAUGGGUCAUGAGCUUGUUUAGUAGAGUCUCGUGGAUCGGUACGGAGACGUCUGUACUUAUCUUUGGGAGGCUGCAGAACCUUUAGGAAAAACUUCACUUCUUGAAUUCUUGUCAUGCGAAUUUGUUGAUUCAAGUACUAAACUUCAGUUGUUCUAUUCUCUCACAGAUGGUGAGGAGACGACCACAAGUACCACCAGUUGGGGCCACUAGUGGUCGAGGUUGUGGUAGGGGCAGGGGUGUAGCACGCACAACAGCUAGGGCAGCACCUGCAGAUCUACCAACCGCCCCAGUUCAUGAUCAGGCUCCAGCGGAUGCUCCAGCAGUACCAGUUCAGGCACCGACUGUGCCUAUUGUUAUUCCGGGUCUCCGGGAGAUCUUGGCUCAGAUCUUGACCGUGUGCACUAGUCUUGCUCAGGCGGUCACAGUUUCUACUACAACAGCUAUUUCUUAGGCCGGGGGAGGCACUCAGACUCUCGCCGCUCGUACACCCAAGCAGGUUGUGGAGGGACUCUAGACACCAGAGGUACGACCAGCCCAGCCGGUUGCACCUACUCAGGAUUAUGUGGUUCCAGUUAUGCUUGAUGGCGAGUAGCGUCGAUUGGAGAGGUUUGGUAGACUUCAGCCUCCGACUUUCAAUGGUGCAAAGGGUGAGGAUGCCCAGGGUUUCUUGGACAAAUGUUAGAGGAUGUUACGUACAGCGGGUAUUCUGGAGACUAGUGGGGUCUCAUUUACUACCUUUCAGCUGACUUCACUUGGUGGGUGGCUUAUGAGAGGUGUAGGCCUGUUGGUGCAGCACCCCUUACCUGGCAGCAGUUCUCCACUCUCUUCCUGGAGAAGUAUAUGCCGCAGUCCUGCAGAGAGGAGCUGCACAGGCAGUUUGAACAGUUGCAUCAGGAUGAUAUGACUGUGAAGUAGUAUGAGAUGAGGUUUUCUGAGUUAGCCCGUCAUGUAGUCUGGUUGGUUACUACAGAUAGGGAGAGGAUCAGGAGAUUCGUGGAUGGCCUCGCUUAUCGGCUACAGAUUCUUAUGACCAGAGAGAGGGUGUCUGGUGCUUCUUUUGAGGAGGUGAUUGACAUUGCUCGAGAGAUAGAGUCGUUUCGCCGCUAGGAGCGAGUUGAGAGGGAGGCCAAGAGGCCUUGGGGAUCUGGCAGUUUUGGUGGUGUUCCUUUGGGAAGUCAGUUUCAGCACGGUAGAGGCCGUCCAUUCAGACAUGCUCAGCUAGCCCGUUCGGGCUACCGUGGUGGAUCAUCUGGCCACGGUUCUCACAGUUCACAUCAGGGUCACUCAUCUCUCAGUUCCCUUCCAGCUCAGAGUUCGACUCAGGCGCCAUCAGCUCAAGGCUCAUCUAUGUUGGGUUCUUCUAGUAGGCAUCCCCGUGCUCGGGGCUCCCUUCAGUCCCCACCGCCAUUUGCCGGGAGAGGUUGUUUCGAGUGUGGAGAUUUGGGUCAUAUUAAGAGGUUUUGUCCCUGUCUUACGGGAGGUUCAUCUCAGCAGAAGAGUCAGCCUUCGACUUCAGCACCAAUUACUUCCCCACCCGCUCAGUCAGCUCACGGUGGAGGUCAGUCAGCCAGGGGUCACCCUAGAGGGGGAGGACGAUCAGGUGGUGGUCAGGCCCAUUUCUAUGCCCUCCCAGCCAGACUAGAUACUAUUGCUUCAGAUGCUAUGAUUACAGGUAUUGUCUCAAUCUGCCACGGAGAUGCCACUGUAUUAUUUGAUCCUAGUUCCACUUUUUCAUAUGUGUCAUCAUAUUUUGCUCAUUACUUGGAUACGCCUCGCGAGUCUCUUGUUUUGUCUAUUCAUGAAUCUACUUCGGUGGGCGAUACUAUUAUUGUAAAUCGUGUAUAUCGGUCAUGUGUGGUGACUAUUGGGGGUUUGGAUACCCUAGUGGAUCUCUUGUUGCUUAGUAUGGUUGAUUUCUAUGUGAUAUUGGGCAUGUAUUGGUUAUCUCUGUGUCAUUCUAUCUUGGAUUGUCAUGCUAAGAUAGUGACAUUAGCUAUGCCGGGGUUGCCACGGAUUGAGUGGCAAGGUUCGACGGAUUAUGUUCCCAGUAGAGUGAUUUCAUUUUUGAAGGCCUAGCGGAUGGUUGGGAAGGGUUGUCUUUCUUAUCUGUCCUUCAUGAGGGAUGUUAGUACAAAGACUUCUACCAUUGAUUCAGUUCCAGUAGUGAGGGACUUUUCGGAUGUGUUUCUUGCAGACCUGCCGGGCAUGCCAUCGGACAGGGAUAUUGAAUUUGGAAUUGAUUUAGUGCCGGCCACUCAUCCCAUUUCUAUUCCACUGUAUCGUAUGGCACCGGUUGAGUUGAAAGAGUUGAAGGAGCAGCUUCAGGAACUCCUUGAUAAGGGGUUUAUUCGGCCUAGUGCGUCGCCUUGGGGUGCGCCUGUUCUAUUUGUGAAGAAGAAGGAUGGCACGAUGAGGAUUUGCAUUGAUUACAGGUAGUUGAACAAAGUUACAAUCAAAAACAAGUAUCCUUUGCCUCGUAUCGAUGAUUUAUUUGACCAGCUUUAGGGAGCGAGAGUGUUCUCCAAGAUUGAUCUCCGUUCAGGGUAUCACCAGCUGUAGAUCAGGGACUCGAAUAUUCUUAAGACAGCCUUCAGGACCCGAUAUGGUCAUUAUAAGUUCCUCGUGAUGUCGUUUGGGCGGACCAAUGUCCCAAUAGCGUUCAUGCAUUUGAUGAACAACGUGUUUCGGCCUUAUCUCGACUCAUUCGUUAUUGUAUUCAUUGAUGAUAUUCUGGUAUACUUGCGUAGUCAGGAGGAGCACGCGGAGCAUUUGAGAGUUGUGUUGCAUAGAUUGAGGGAGGAGAAGCUUUAUGCAAAGUUCUCCAAAUGUGAGUUUUGGCUAAGUUCAGUGGCUUUCUUGGGGCACGUGGUAUCCAGUGAGGGUAUUCAGGUUGAUCCGAAGAAGAUAGAUGCGGUUCAGAGUUGGCCCAAACCGUCCUCAGCCACAAAUAUUCGCAACUUUCUUGGUUUGGCGGGCUAUUACCGUCGCGUUUAGGGAUUUUCAUCUAUAGCAUCACCCUUGACCAAUUUGACUCGAAAGGGUGCUCCUUUCAUGUGGUCGGAUGAGUGUGAGGCGAGCUUUCAAAAUCUCAAGACUGCCUUGACCACAGCUCCAGUGUUAGUUUUUCUAUCAACUUCAGGUUCAUAUACAGUGUAUUGUGAUGCUUCGAGAGUUGGUAUCAGGUGUGUGUUGAUAUAGGAGGGUAGAGUGAUUGCUUAUGCUUCUCGUCAGUUGAAGCCCCAUGAGAAGAACUACCCCGUUCAUGAUUUGGAGUUGGAUGCCAUUGUCCACACGUUGAAGAUUUGGAGGCAUUAUCUCUAUGGUGUGUCUUGUGAGGUGUUUACUGAUCAUCGUAGCCUCCAACACUUGUUCAAGCAGAAGGAUCUCAAUUUGAGGCAGCGGAGAUGGUUGGAGCUGCUAAAGGACUAUGAUAUUACCAUCUUGUACCAUCCGGGGAAGGCCAAUGUAGUGGCUGAUGCUUUGAGUAUGAAGGCAGCGAGUAUGGGCAGUUUGCAUUUAUUCCUGUUGGAGAGAGAACUCUUGCAGUUGACGUUCAGGCCUUGGCCAAUCAGUUUGUAAGGAUGGAUAUUUUGGAGCCCGGGUGGGUCUUAACUUGUGUGCUUUCUCGGUCUUCCUUGUUCGAAAGCAUCAGAGAGAGCAAGUAUGAUGAUCCUCAUUUACUUGUCCUUAAGGAUAGGGUUUAGCACGACGAUGCCAGAGAUGUGACUAUUGGUGAUGACGGAGUAUUGAUGAUGUAGGGCCGGAUAUGUGUGCCCCAUGCAGAUGGGCUUCGAGAGUUGAUUCUGGAGGAGGCCCAUAGCUAGCGGUAUUUCAUCCAUCCGGGUGCCGCGAAGAUGUAUCAGGAUUUGAGACAGCAUUAUUGGUGGAGAAGAAUGAAGAAGGAUAUUGUGGGAUUUGUAGCUCGGUGUCUCAACUGACAACAAGUGAAAUAUGAGCAUCAGAUAUUGGGUGGCUUGCUUCAGCGGCUAGAUAUUCCAGAGUGGAAGUGGGAGCAGAUCACCAUGGAUUUUUUUGUUGGGCUCCCAUGGACUUUGAAGAAGUUCGAUUCUAUUUGGGUGAUAAUGGAUCGGCUGACCAAGUCCGUGCACUUCAUUCCUGUGUGUACUACCUAUUCUUCAGAGAGGCUGGAAGAGAUUUAUAUCCGAGAGAUUGUUCGCUUGCAUGGUGUCCCAGUUUCCAUCAUUUCAGAUAGAGGUACUUAGUUUACUUCGUAGUUUUGGAGGGCCGUGCAGAGAGAGUUAGGUACUCAGGUUGAGUUGAGCACAGCUUUUCACCCUCAGACGGACGGGCAGUCCGAGCACACUAUUCAGAUAUUGGAGGACAUGUUGCGUGCUUGUGUCAUUGAUUUUGGUGGUUCAUGGGAUUAGUUUUUACCGCUCGUGGAGUUUGCAUAUAACAACAGUUAUCAAUCGAGCAUUCAGAUGGCUCCAUAUGAGGCUUUAUAUGGGAGACAAUGUAGAUCUCCAAUUGGUUGGUUUGAGCCCGGCGAGGCUAGGCUUUUGGGUACAGACUUGGUGCAGGAUGCUUUAGACAAGGUGAAGGUGAUUCAGGAGUGUCUUCAUACAACGCAGUCAAGACAAAAAAGUUAUGCUGGCAGGAAGGUCCGUGACGUGUCUUACAUGGUUGGGGAGAAGGUUCUACUGAAGGUUUCACCCAUGAAGGGUGUUAUGAGAUUUGGGAAGAAGGGUAAAUUGAGUCCUCGAUUCAUUGGUCCUUUCGAGGUACUUCGGAGGAUUGGGGAGGUGGCUUAUGAGCUUGCUUUGCCACCCAGCUUGUUGAGUGUGCAUUCGGUGUUUCAUGUUUCUAUGCUCCGGAAGUAUAUUGGUGAUCCGUCUUAUGUUUUGGAUUUCAGCACGGUUUAGUUAGAUGGUUAUUUGACUUAUGAUGUGGAGCAAUGGCUAUUUUGGAGCGUUAGGUUCGAAAGUUGAGAUCAAAGGAUAUAGCUUCAGUCAAAGUGCAGUGAAGAGGUCGGCCCGUGGAAGAGGCUACCUAGAAGACCGAGCGGUAGAUGCAGAGCAAAUAUCCUCACCUAUUUGAGACUUCAGGUAUGUUUCUUAACUCGUUCGAGGACGAACGUUUAUUUAAGAGGGGGAGAAUGUAACGAUCUGACCGGUCAUUUCAUGAGUUACCGCUCCGUUUCCCCCCAUUUAUGCUUUCUUAUGUGUUGUUCAGCUACAUUUCAUCAUAUCGUGUUGGUUGGUUCGGGCUUGGAGUAGUUUUGGAGUAUUAUAAGACACUUAGUCUCAUAAGUUGGCCAUUUAGUUGGAAAAGUCAACCAGAAGUUGACUUGUGAGUAAACGAUCUCGGAAUUUGGUUUUUAUGGUUCAGAUAGCUUCGUUAGGUGAAUUGGGACUUAGGAACGUAUUCAGAAUGUAAUUUGGAGGUCUGUCGUAGAUUUAGGCUUGAAUUGACAAAAUUGGAAAAUUGGCAUUUUUCGGUCGGUAGUGGAAAUCUUGAUAUAGAGGUCGGAAUGGAAUUCCGGAAAUUGGAGUAGGUCCGUAGUGUCAUUUGUGACGUGUGUGCAAAUUUCAAGUCAUUCGGAGUUUGAUUUGAAAGGUUUCGGCGUCAUUUGUGGAAUUUGAAAGUUUCUAAGUUCUUAGGCUUGAAUCCGAGGUUGAUUUGGUGUUUUAGUGUUGUUUUGAGUGAUUCGAAGUCUCGACUAAGUUUGAAUGAUAUUAUGGGAUGUGUUGGCAUGUUUGGUUGAGGUCUCGUGGGCCUCGGGUGAGUUUCGGGAGGUUAUCGGACCAAAUUCUUGGUUUUGAGAGUUGCAGAUUUUUGCUAGUUUCUGUUGCAGAGGUUUGUUCUUCGCUUUCGCGAGAGGGCUCUUGCAUUCGCGAAGGGAUGUGGAGUGAGGCAGGUGAGUUUCUCUUUGCGUUCGUGAUGUUGGUCCCGCGUUCGCGAAGGUUGAGGCAGAGUGUGCAUCGUGAACGCGUGGCAGAGCUCGCGUUCGCGUAGAAGGGUGAAGUAGGCUUGGGCAUCAGGCCAUAAGGCAUCGCGUUUUCGGCCAGAGGAAAGCGUUUGCAUAGGCCAAGCUAGGCAAGGCAUCGCGUUCGCACGGUGGAGUUCGCGUUCGCGAAAGAGGAAAAGAUUGAACAUGGAUUUUGUGCUUCGCGAACGCAAGGCUUUGACCCCGUUCGUGAAGAAGGGAGCACCUGGGCAGAAAGUAUAAAUAGAGGCCUUCACGGGUUUUAGCCCAUUUCUCACCAUUUUUGAACGGUUUUGAAGCUUUUUGAGAGGGAUUGAAGAGGGAUUCGAAGGGAAACACUUAGAGGUAAGGUUUUUGAACUCAAUACUCGAUUCUAUGGUGAUUUCUAACUAAUUAGACAUGAAAUUAGUGGGAUUUAAAGCCUAAAAUUAGAAAAUUAGGGCUUGAAACUGGAAAGUGUAAAUUGGGGAUUUGAGGGGCCAUUUGAGGUCCGAUUUUGAUGUUCUUGGUAUGUAUGAACUCAUGGGAGGAUAAGUAUUCUAUUGAUGUGAUUUUUAUCGAAUUUCGAGACAUGGGCCCAGGGGUCGGGUUUGACCAAUUUCGGUAUUUUUGAUGUAAUUUGAUUAUUUUUGCGUGGGCUUUAUUCCCUUAGCAUAUAUUGAUGUUAUGGUUUUGAUUUUGGUUAGAUUCGGGGCAUUUGGAGACCGAAUCGAGAGGCAAGGGCGUCGCGGGUUAGAGUUUGGCUUGGCUUGAGGUAAGUAACACUUCCAAACUUGGUUUUGAGAGUUCGAAACCCCGAACUAUGUGUUCUAUGAUUACUAUUGAGGUGAAACAAAUGCCAAGUGACGGGCGUGUGGGCGUGCACCGUGAGAAUUGCGGCCUGGAUCAUUCCAUGGCAUUGCUUAGUAACUCUUUCUUAUUGAUAUAUGUGUUUCUAUCAUGUGAUUAAGUAAAUGUGCUGUGAAAACAUGCUAGAUAUCCUGCUAGGGCUUCACGCCGAUACUGUUGAAACCUGAGAGGUCAUUUCUUGCUGUCAUAUCAUUAGUUUCAUUGAUAUUUUGUACUCAGUCCUGUUCAUGCAUUUUAUAUCAUGUCUCAGUCUCGGUUAUAAUUAUUUGGCACAUCAUAUCAUUGUUUUAGGCUAGUUUCAUGACAUUGUGAGCCCGUGAGUGUGAGACUGAAGAGUGAUGACUGAGUAAGGCCGAGAUCCUGAUUGUGAGUGAUAGUUAUGGGAUCGGAAUGCAAGCCGCAGCGGUUAUGUUGAUGAUUGUGAUAGCGCUUGGGCUGUAGGAGCCCCUCCGGAGUCUGUAACACACCCCAGUCAGCGCAGUUGAUGAUAUUGAGGGAUGGAUCUUCCCUGAACAUGGAUCUUGUCCGAAGUAUUUAUACCUGGAGAUGGAUCUUCUCCACAGGGCUGGAAUGCCCUUCCUCGGUACUGGAUGACUGCGAUCAGCGAUGGUAAUAUAUUCGGGGAUGGAUCUUCCCUGGACCGGAUGGCCAUAUACAGUACGAGUGGUUGAGCACUUGUGAGAUGAGGUACACGGAACAUUGAUCAUGCUAUAUGUGUAUUGGUACAUAGAGAUUUCCUGAGCUUUAUACUCCGUACUGUCAGACUGCACUAUUUACUGUUUAGUUUUUACUUGAACUGCAAGCAUGUCUACUUUCUGUACAAUUUAAUUAUAUUACCUGUAGACGUUUGGUUCGUCACUACUUGUCAGUCCAUAGUUUGGACUUGUUACUUACUAAGUUGGUGUACUCACAUUACCCCCUGCACCUUGUGUGCAGAUCCAGGUAUCUCGGGCCACAGUAGCGGUUGCUGAUCAUAUCAGUUGUGGACUUUCCUUGGAGAUAGCGAGGUAGCUGCCUGGCGAUCGCAGUUCCGCCUUCUCCUUCCUAUCUUCCUCUUAGUGUAUUUGUUGGGAUAUUCUCAGACUAUGUUAGUNNNNNNNNNNNNNNNNNNNNNNNNNNNNNNNNNNNNNNNNNNNNNNNNNNNNNNNNNNNNNNNNNNNNNNNNNNNNNNNNNNNNNNNNNNNNNNNNNNNNNNNNNNNNNNNNNNNNNNNNNNNNNNNNNNNNNNNNNNNNNNNNNNNNNNNNNNNNNNNNNNNNNNNNNNNNNNNNNNNNNNNNNNNNNNNNNNNNNNNNNNNNNNNNNNNNNNNNNNNNNNNNNNNNNNNNNNNNNNNNNNNNNNNNNNNNNNNNNNNNNNNNNNNNNNNNNNNNNNNNNNNNNNNNNNNNNNNNNNNNNNNNNNNNNNNNNNNNNNNNNNNNNNNNNNNNNNNNNNNNNNNNNNNNNNNNNNNNNNGUUUUAAAUGAAAAUGUAGUUCGUUUUGAAAAUGAGUUGGUUGGCCUAGUUUCACGAUAGCUGCCAUCACGGCCGGAUCGUUUUGGGGUCGUGACAUUAUGAAUGGAAAUAGUAGUCGGCGUUGGUAGUGGUGUGAUGCUAAUAUUGUGUAGUUUUUAAGGAUAUGAUAUAUAAUUAAAAGUCAUCUUCACAAAAAUCAUGAAAUGAAUAACGUCAUAAUGAUUUGAUGUACAAGAUCCAGAUAAUUCAAUCCUAUUAAGAUUAAAUACAUAAUUUUAAAAAUACACUAAUGGACAAAAGUUUGAAUGAUUCAAAUUCAAACAUUCGUUAAGUGGAAACAGAUAGAAUGAGAUAGUUGUAAAAGAAUACACCUAAUUCAAUUCAGAUUUUAUUAAGUGAAAAUAAAUUAUGUAAAUUAGAUUUGUUACAUAAACGGUGAAUUAGAUCGAAACUAACUCGAGCAGAAGUGCGAGAUAGCAUUGUGUGAGAAAAAACAAACGCACUAAAUGAAUUAAAAUAUAAAUAAUUCAAGUCAAAUUUUGCAUUAAGCGAGAGAAUAAAGCUUCAACGUUUCCUUUGGAAUGAUGGAAAGAGCAAUCUCCAGAUAAAAUUUAAUAUUAUUAGUACGAUGUUUGGUUUCAUUUUUUGUUUUCACAUAAAACUAAACAUUAUUUAUACAAUAUUUUGUCCCAAUUUAUCUUUACUACACAAGUUAUAUGAAAAUUUAUGUACUAUUAUUUUAUGUAUGAUAGAAUGUGAAACUAAAAUGUAGGGAUUACUAUUACAUGGAUUAAAACUAAGGGUGUCUAACGGGUGGGCCGGGCGGGGCCGGGCUGGAUAGGGAAAGUUGGAACCGUUCGUAUUUCGAAUCGGGCCAGUUACAUGUUAGGGGUUACCGAGCUUAAUGGGUUCGAGUUCAUCCGGGUAAAAAAUAAACCGUAAGGGUUACGGGUACAAGAGGCCGGACCGGACCGGGUUAGUGUAAUUUUUAAUUUUUUUUUGUAUUUUGUAUAAUUAUUGUAAGUUAUAUUAAUAUAAAGUAAAAAUAUAAAGAAUACAAUGAAGAUGGAAAAAAAUUGCACUUACAAAUUGCAAGCGCUACAUUUAUUUCAAAAUUCAAACUUACAAAUUGAAAGGUUUACAUUUAACAACAAGUAAAUUAAAGAAAAAACAGUAAAUUCAAAGAUUUUGCAUUGCCUUAGUAAGUUCUACAUAAUUAAUAUGAAUUAAUUGGCCUUCUUCUGGAGUGUUAAAUUCAGAUGGGUUACCAUAUGUUAAUAUAUCUCCAAGUUCCUCGUUAGAAAAUCAGAAACAUUAAAAAAGAAAAUUGAAAGUAGCCGUUAUACCGGGCCGGGCCGGGCCGUUUAACCGGUUCUACAGUAAAUCGCGUUGACCGGGUUUGACCAAUCCGGUUAACAAGUUGCACGAAGGUGAACGGACCAACCCCCUUACCCUAUUAAUCCAACCCACCCGACCCCCUUUUAUCGGUCCGGGCUGGUUCCGGUUUCAACUGGGCUGGGCCGGUCCGGAAAUGGGUUGACCCGACUAUUAGACACCCUUAAUUAAAACUACUAAAUAACAAAGUAAGCCUUCACGUAAUAACCAAUAUUUUAUAUUGUUAAAAUAAAAAUAUUUUUUUAAAAUAUGCACUUCAUUUGGUAACACACAAAAAAAAAAAAAAAGGAAAUCCAAUAUGAAAUCCAGUGAUUUAUACAUUAUGCAUUACUAAAUACAUAUUGCUGAACCAAAAAAGUGCGAGAUAUCAGUCAGGAAAGCAAGAGAAAACGAAGAGAAAAGCUUGGAUUGAGCCUUCUGACAUGGCAAACCUGCCUCAGUCACUCUCAAUGCUCACCGCCUUUGGAGGAGGACCGGGCAACACAGCCUCGGCAUCUGCCGCUGCAACUCAGGACCGUAACAAAAUGCAAUCAGCAGAGCAACUCGUGCUUGAACUCAGCAACCCCGAUCUUCGAGAAAAUGCCCUUCUUGAACUUUCUAAGGUCCAAUUCCCAUUUCAAAAUUUGGCCUAUAACGUUUACCUUUCAUUUUAUGUUUUUGUAUAUUUUUUUUCCCAAUUUCGCAUUACUGUAAAGUGCCAUAUAUAAGCACGAGCUUAGGAUUUCCACCUGUGUGCUUGUUUUGCUGUAGCUGGGUUGCUUGGUAGAUUAAUCAAGUCGGUCCAAACACCAUCGUCAUUCAACAAUAGUAAAGAAUUGAGUGAAUUGAGAUAGUAUGUUGUUGAUGGUUGUUACUCAGGUGAAUUUUUUUCUUAAUAAAUUUGUAUGGAGAUUACAAAGUGGGAAAUCCAACCCUCAUCAAACAAGGUAAAAGUUCAGCCAGUUAAUCAACUAAACUACAAGAUUCCACAUUACUUAGUGAGUUCAAUUUUGGAAAUAUGACAGAAUUGUUCUUUUAGGAUUCCGGCAAUUUGGGAAGCGAAUUGAUGUCAAAGAAAGCAAUUUAAGGCAGCUUCUGGUGUGUCAGCUUUUAUAUCUUGUUUCAAGAGCUCUAAUCUUUGCUACAGUGACAGAACCCUUUCAGAAUUGGUUAAGAAGGUGUGCUACUUUUCAAGCCUGUGGCUAACACUCGUAGCUCCUUUGACUGUAGCAAUGCUCUCGAAAUUAGGUUCCCAAAUGUACUUGGAUUCUCCAAUUGGUUGGUUUGAAUAAUUAGUUUGAGAUAAGGGGCGCUAGCUUAAUAUCCCGCUUAAUGUAUUGCUGUUUAAGGUUAACUACGAUCUUUGGGUACUUUUUUUGUAGAGGAGUCUAAAACUAGUUACUGUUUUGGCUGUUCAAAACUCUAGAUCAUGUGAGUAUUUAACUACCUUUCCUAGAUGAGUUAUCAUCUUUGGAGAUUUAUGUGUUGCUUUUCUGAUAGGAACAUAUAUUAAUUGUUAAGGAAUACUAUCCCUUGAUAAGCCUCCGUGCUCUACAAAAAAAAGAAAAAAAGCAGACAAAAAGUUUUCUACCAGUCUAUAUUGAGACGAGAAGCCAUGGCCCUCCCUUCUCAAAUUCUCGACAUUCUCAGCGACUUGCUGAAAUUAAUAUUGAAAGACAAAAUGUAGAAAUUAUGCUUCAAAAUACCCGAAUAAUAUUUCUUGAGGCAUAUUUGCUCCGUGAACCUAGCUGCUAUUGAAGCCCGAAUGGAAGCAAGGCAUCAAAGGAUGCGGGAAGUAGAAGUUAUUAUGUAUUCUAAGGAGUAGAGUAGCAAAUAAGCAUGAGUACAGUUAAUUGAAUUGUUUUAGGUAAUAUGUCUUUUGUCUAUUUCCAAAUAAUACACUACUGGUUAUUUGAACGAAUAAACCAUCCAACUUUUGGAAAGACAGUCACCCUCACAAGCUUUUUCUUCAAGCAUUCAUAAGCAUUCCGCAGCAUCCAAUUCCCAAAAGGGAAAAAACAUAAAGAUAUAAGGUCACGUCUAGGCAAAAGCUUCUCGAUUAGGUUGGUACAAUUUAAUUAUUAUCUACUUUUGCAUUUCUUAGAGAUUUGAAUUUUAUUUUCAAGUAUAGUAGGUUUUAGUGAAUACCAAAUUGAAGAACAACUAUUAACUAUAGGAUGAAAUUACUUUUACUUGGUAUUGUCAGGAAAAGAACAUAAAAUAAUAGAGAAACAGAAAUUGUUUGAAACCGUAAUCAAGUUAGUAUCCAAAUCAAAAACAGAACUGAUAGUUGUAUUAUACUACAAUUUUUUCAAGUAUUUUUAGCAAUUACUUUGUUAUAUUCAUUUUUAAGGGACACAUAAGCAAUAUAGAUGUUAUAGCAUGUUAUAAUUCUACAAUAGUUGCAUUUCUGUCGAAGGAUAAAAGCAUAAUAAAAUGCCAAGAUCUGCUGGGGAUUUAAGCACAAAGACAAUUAAAUUGUGAGUUUUAGUAUUGAAAGGCACAAAUAGGGAAAAAUCAUAAAAAAGUUUAUAUAUAUAUUUACUGCAACAGAUAACUUUAAACACCUGCAACAAUUAUAUGAACAUGUAUUUAAAAGCCAACUGCAUGAAAUAAAACUCAAGUAAAUCAAGAUAGAAAACCAUGUCUAUUUUUGUGAUACUAAAUUUCUAAUUCACUGAGCAAUUAUAAUAUCACUUUGCUAGCUAUAUUUAUUAUUUCGUGCCGCCUUUUCAAGGAGCCCAUAGCUAUAAGGAGCAUGCUUUAGCGCCUUGCUGUCGACAUUGAAAUGGCACCUAUAUGAGCUGAAGUGCCUAAAGUAGCAUCUAGUUCUUAGGUGAGCGUCUUGUAACAUUGAAUAGAUCAUUGUCUUACUUCUACUGACUGUCUUUUUCUGUAGGGGUUUCGAUUCAGUAAGAAAUGAAAGGCAAUAAAUGGAAAAAUAACAGUUUUUCAAUGAGAAAGUUGGGAAGUUCUUGAUUGCGAACCCUUUCAUAUUAAUUAAGUUAGUGUUAUCACUAUCUUUUUGUUUUGUUCUGCUCUUUUUUUUUGUUGGUGGAAUCACCAUACCAAUUCUUUUUUUACACUUGUAGUUAGUGACUGCAGAUUUUCUAACAAACACAUAAUAUUCUUCCUGCCCUGGCUACUGGCAAGUGAACUGGCAAAUUUCUAUGCAAGCACUACACAGUAUUCUACUUUGUCAAAAGCAAAGCGAACCACAUCAGAGCUUGACUUUAAACUCCAGCCUUUUCCCUUUGGCUGAAAAUGAUAUGAUGGUUGAGGAUAACUACUAAUUUCUUCUGUCCUCCAAUGCUAAGUGCUAACAAUGAAGUUUUGGUGUCUGCCUUAGUGACUGUUAUUUUUUUGCUCACCUCUUUUAUCUAUAUAUGUGUACAAUGUCAGAUAACAUUUAAUUGACAUUUUAUACUAGAUAGUCUUCUUCUCCUUAUAUUCCGAUCCCCCCCCCCCAACCCCACCACCACCACCACACACACACACACAUACAGAGGAAAAGAAACUAUUAAUUAUGUUAUCCUUUUUCAGAAGAGGGAAUUAUUCCAGGACUUAGCCCCAUUGCUAUGGAACUCAUUUGGUACUAUCGCUGCGCUCUUACAGGUAAUCUUUGAAGUGUUUCAUUCUAAUUCUAGAAAUUUUAUCUUCAUAAAAAUUUUCUUAACAAAAAAAAAAAAAAAAAAAUUCUAUAAAUUUUAUCCCAUCUGUAAGAUGCACAUGCAUACCCACCUUAUAUUGUAACAUCUGCCACAUCUUCCAUCUGUUUGAGCAGACAUUUCUUAGUGGCCCACUGUUAGAUUGGUGGUGCUUUGCACUUUGUGGCAUUAAGCAGAAGGACUCAAUGAAACAUCUGGAUGACCUUGCAGUCCAAAACCAGGCUGUAUACUUUUUGAACAAAGUGUGAGCCAUAUCUCAGCGAAUCAAAUGAAAGUGAAAUAGCAGAGGAGUGAUGUAGAAUGCCAUUGCGGAAAGUUGUUAUCAAUUUAUUUUAGUUGAAAUUUAGGAGUAGAACCUGCAUGUUAUCUUUUGUUUAUGGAAUGACUGAGAUAUUAAAAUGGUAAAAUAUUAAAAUUCUUGCAUUUUCCUACGAUGAUAAAAGAGGUUUGUGAAAUGUUUUUUGGGAGGGGGGGGGGGGGGGGGAGACGAGGGGAAGCAGAGCUGUGGUCCCCCAUUGCUAUUGCUCGUUCUUCCCUUGCUGUAAUCUGUACUCAGAUGAUGGCAUGUUGCUUGUCUCAGUGAAGGAAACUGGAUAAUUUGUGAAUUGUUGGUGGGAGAGAAAAAAUGGAUGUAAAUGAUGGUGGAUGAAGACUGGAAUGAGUAUAUGGGAAGAGCACUAAAUGAGAAUCUUGAUGUUGUUUUUUGGUUGGAUAUAACUGACAAGAAAGGAGCUAAAUUCACUAGCAAACAGCUUUCAUCUCUGUCGAAUAUCCAACACUUAUGACAUCCUAAAGCUCCAGCUAAGCAGAUAAUUUCAAGCUGUUAAGUGACGCAAGCUAGGAUAUGCCAAAGAGAAAGGUAAUUUGGAGCGUUGUCUAACUUGCUGGAGAAUGUUCCAGCAGAGGUCCUCAUAGAAGUAGUGGCCUGGCUGUUUCUCGCCUUGACAGAUUUUUUCUAUUGCAAGAAGUAGAAAAUGAUAUACUCCUUCCAAUAGAAAAUGGGUCCCAACAGAUUGAUUUUCAGUUAUGAAUGUUUUACUUGGAACAUGACAGCUAUUUUUUUUUUAUUGAUUUUACUUUGUCCAUAUUGAUUUUUUUUACAUGCUUGCAGGAGAUAGUUUCCAUCUACCCUGUUUUGUCACCGCCAAACCUGACUCCAGCACAAUCUAAUAGAGUUUGUAAUGCUUUAGCACUUCUUCAGGUAUAUAGAUUUCUUUUCCAUAUGGAGUUAUUCUCAAAUGAUUCUUCAUGAUGUUUCCUUUAAUCAUCUCUCAUCGACAAUGUGUAAAGUCAUGAGUUAUUGCCAUGUAAUGUUUUCCUUCAUAAGAAGUAACAGCUUUAUACUACCCAAAAGAGCCUUUUCAGUUAGGAACAUUUAUUCAGCUGUAGGAUGUAGACACUUGGAUAUGUUUGGGGUUGUGGUUUAUGUAUCAAGAGGGAGAAAGGAGAACACCGUACUUCAAUGGUAUUGCGAGAAGCAGUACCAAGCAUGUUUCCGUCUUUACUGCUAUCACCAAAAGUAGUUCGAUGUUGUUCAAAGCCUUGUAUCUCGUCAAUUACAGUAUACUGUACAUUUCAGUCUCAAUUGACUGAAAGUGAGGUCAUUGUAAAAACAGGGUUCAUGAUUUUGGUUUCUAUUAAUGUAUAUCCAAUCAUGGUCUGCAUUCCAUGUCUUUGGUGAAAAAUAGAGAAAUGACAGAAUGAUUGUCAAUGCAGAAAUGACACAAUGAUUGCAAUGCACCCGCAGGUAUAGUCUCAAAACUUCUAUAAUAAUCUUUCUCCUCUUUCCUCUCUCAAUAUAUGCAAGUUCAAAAGAAAGCUAAGCAACGGU